CGGAGGAUCCGAGCGUUAUCCGGAUUUAUUGGGUUUAAAGGGUGCGUAGGCGGGAUAGUAAGUCAGUGGUGAAAGCCCGCAGCUCAACUGCGGAACUGCCAUUGAUACUGCUAACCUUGAGUAUGUAUGAUGUGGGCGGAAUGUGCAGUGUAGCGGUGAAAUGCUUAGAUAUUGCACAGAACACCGAUUGCGAAGGCAGCUCACAAAACCAUAACUGACGCUGAGGCACGAAAGCGUGGGGAUCAAACAGGAUUAGAUACCCUGGUAGUCCACGCCUUAAACGUUGAGUACUCGAUGUGUGCGAUAUACUGUACGCGUCUAAGCGAAAGUGAUAAGUAUUCCACCUGGGGAGUACGCUCGCAAGAGUG
rnacentral:rRNA from 1 species